GGAUUAGAUGUAUUAUUAGCAUCGCCGUUCGCGAAUUCCUUCCCUAAAUUUUUUGAAUAAGUUUAAAGUGAAUUAAUAACGCAUCUCAGGCGCGUAGCUCAGUUGGUUAGAGCGCACGACUGAUAAUCGUGAGGUCGGCAGUUCAAAUCUGCCCGUGCCUACCAACUUUAUUGUGGAGCGUUGGGUUGCUGAAAAAUAUCAGGGAAAGAAAUAUUUAUUUUUGGCGUAGCAGAUUAAUUUGAAAAAAUUGUGUUUGCUGCGGGCUUUUUGACAAUGUAAGUGAAGACAUCCAAGACCGCGUGGAUUACGCGUUUAUAAAAACCUGCACGGAUUUUAUGAAUGGUAAUCACGCAUGCUUUAAUGUCAGAUUGUUAAGGUGUUUGCCUUUACGAUCUGUCUAAUCAAGCGUCUUAAGGGCAUUUGGUGGAUGCCUUGGC
rnacentral:tRNA from 1 species